AUUUAAACUGCUUAAAAUCGUAUAUUUCGCGCCUUUCACGGUCACUCGUAAAAAGUCGCGCAUGGCGGAUCGCGGAGUGAAUUUCAAUCGUUCGGUAUUUCUCGCGGUUUUUAUCGAGUAAAAGUGAAUCUCGUGCGCUAACAGUUAUCGGACGUGUUGUGUAUAGUGUUCGUGGUACCGUAGACGUUGUAUGCAAUUGCCAUCAAUCACUAAUAUCAAUAUUUGAGACUGGACAAUCUGCUUGUGUGUGUGUGUGUCGAAUGGAUGAAAAUCAUCUUCACAUAUUUCAACCCAUUUUUUCGUUGAUGUGUAGCGGAAUGUAAUAGAUGCAUGAUCAUCAUUAGGUUAAUUUAUGGACAACUCUGCUGCUGCGAGAAAAGGAUCAUGCUGAGUUACAUGACCACUGAGAUGCAUCUCAACGUUUGUUUCCAGCCACGUGGAGGACUUGUCCCGCUAUUCUAAUGGCUAUCGCAGAUUUACGCGUUCCGGUUGCUACGGGAUCCGCUGACUGAUUGAUGCGAUGCGCGGAUGAUGCAACGGAGUGCAACGCCGUCAUGCCGUGGCUGCGUUUGUUCGAGGCCCAGAGCGGAGUCACGACGGGAUGAACUUUGCCAAUCAGGUCCGGUCUUGGAAACGACUCUUUAGUAGCA
rnacentral:lncRNA from 1 species